GGUGAACGCUGGCGGCGUGCCUAAGACAUGCAAGUCGAGCGGGCCGCGGGGUUUUACUCCGUGGUCAGCGGCGGACGGGUGAGUAACGCGUGGGUGACCUACCCGGAAGAGGGGGACAACCCGGGGAAACUCGGGCUAAUCCCCCAUGUGGACCCGCCCCUUGGGGUGUGUCCAAAGGGCUUUGCCCGCUUCCGGAUGGGCCCGCGUCCCAUCAGCUAGUUGGUGGGGUAAUGGCCCACCAAGGCGACGACGGGUAGCCGGCCUGAGAGGGUGGCCGGCCACAGGGGCACUGAGACACGGGCCGCACUCCUACGGGAGGCAGCAGUUAGGGAUCUUCCGCAAUGGGCGCAAGCCUGACGGAGCGACGCCGCUGGGAGGAAGAAGCCCUUCGGGGUGUAAACUCCUGAACCCGGGACGAAACCCCCGACGAGGGGACUGACGGUACCGGGGUAAUAGCGCCGGCCAACUCCGUG
rnacentral:rRNA from 1 species